rnacentral:rRNA from 1 species
AACCUACCCGAAUCUGGGGGAUAGCCCGCCGAAAGGCGGAUUAAUACCGCAUAAAACUGCAGGACGGCAUCGUUCAACAGUUAAAGAUUUAUUGGAUUUGGAUGGGGUUGCGUGCCAUUAGCUAGUUGGCGGGGUAACGGCCCACCAAGGCGACGAUGGCUAGGGGAGCUGAGAGGCUGGUCCCCCACACGGGCACUGAGAUACGGGCCCGACUCCUACGGGAGGCAGCAGUAGGGAAUAUUGGGCAAUGGUCGAGAGACUGACCCAGCCAUGCCGCGUGCAG